UCUCCUUGGCCUCCACGGAAGUAGACUUGGUUGUGAACAAUGUGGAAACUAAAUUGUGAGAAGAACUUGGAUUUAUGGAUUAUUUCGUGCUUAUGUUAAACUAUGCCUGUGGUGUUUAUGAAUUAUGCCUGUGGUUGUGAAUUAUCCAUGUGGUUGUUUAUUACAAAUGCCUGUGAUAUGUGUAUUGUGAAUUGAGAGGGGUCCGUUAUACGUGGCAAAAUGUCGAAAAAGGGGGGGUUCUGG
rnacentral:lncRNA from 1 species